UACGUAGGGUGCAAGCGUUGUCCGGAAUUAUUGGGCGUAAAGCGCGCGCAGGCGGCGGUGCUGGCCCGGCGUGAAAGCCCCCGGCUCAACCGGGGAGGGUCGUCGGGGACCGCACCGCUUGAGGGCGGUAGGGGCUGGUGGAAUGCCUGGUGUAGUGGUGAAAUGCGUAGAGAUCAGGCGGAACACCCGUGGCGAAGGCGGCCAGCUGGGCCGUCCCUGACGCUGAGGCGCGAAGGCGUGGGGAGCGAACGGG
rnacentral:rRNA from 1 species